rnacentral:misc_RNA from 1 species
AAAAAAAAAAAAAAAAAAGCCCCUCAAAACCGCCUGACGAAUUCCUGGUCCCCCUUCUUCAACCAGACCAACGGUACAGUCCAGUUUGAACCUUGAAUUUUUUAAAAAGAAAAAAAUUUGAAAACUAUUUCAAUUAUAUUCACUUAACCCAGAUUAAACUUGAACUUCCCUUGAAUUGGAACCAACUCUGCCUAAGUAAUUUGCGCUUAGCCGGUCCCAAG